UGGGGAAUAUUGCACAAUGGGCGCAAGCCUGAUGCAGCGACGCCGCGUGAGGGAUGACGGCCUUCGGGUUGUAAACCUCUUUCAGCAGGGAAGAAGCGGGAGUGACGGUACCUGCAGAAGAAGCACCGGCUAACUACGUG
rnacentral:rRNA from 1 species